rnacentral:rRNA from 1 species
UACGGGGGGGGCAAGCGUUGUUCGGAAUUACUGGGCGUAAAGGGCUCGUAGGCGGCCAACUAAGUCACACGUGAAAUCCCUCGGCUCAACCGGGGAACUGCGUGUGAGACUGGAUGGCUUGAGUUUGGGAGAGGAAUGCGGAAUUCCAGGUGUAGCGGUGAAAUGCGUAGAUAUCUGGAGGAACACCGGUGGCGAAGGCGGCAUUCUGGACCAACACUGACACUGAGGAGCGAAAGCCAGGGGAGCAAACGGG